CUGGACUGGGCUGGCUUGAAUUGGGUUGGACUUUAAUAAAUUGUUUGGUACAUCUAAGUUGGGCCAGGCUGCGAUGGACUUAAGUCCAUUGUUUGGUACAAAUAUAGGCUGGAAUGCUAUGGACUUAAAUAAAAAUUUAUUUUAAAUUUAAUUCUAAUAUUUUAUCAAAUUAUCAAAUUAUCUAAUAUCAUAAUUUAUUAAUUUAUUUAUAAAAAAAAGUACACAAAAAAC
rnacentral:lncRNA from 1 species